CAGAACGAACGCUGGCGGCAGGCCUAACACAUGCAAGUCGAGCGCGCCCUUCGGGGUGAGCGGCGGACGGGUUAGUAACGCGUGGGAACGUACCCUUUGGUAGGGAAUAGCCACUGGAAACGGUGAGUAAUACCCUAUGAGCCCUUCGGGGGAAAGAUUUAUCGCCAAAGGAUCGGCCCGCGUUAGAUUAGGUAGUUGGUGGGGUAAUGGCCUACCAAGCCUACGAUCUAUAGCUGGUUUUAGAGGAUGAUCAGCAACACUGGGACUGAGACACGGCCCAGACUCCUACGGGAGGCAGCAGUGGGGAAUCUUGGACAAUGGGGGCAACCCUGAUCCCAGCCAUGCCGCGUGAGUGAAGAAGGCCUUAGGGUCGUAAAGCUCUUUCGCCUGUGAAGAUAAUGACGGUAGCAGGUAAAGAAACCCCGGCUAACUCCGUGCCAGCAGCCGC
rnacentral:rRNA from 1 species